GGAAACUGAGGUUCAGAGAGGUGGAAUGACUUGUCCCCUGGUCCCAUAGCCGAUGGAUCCUGUGGCUGGUGCAGGACCACAGGUAACAGCAGUUACGUGGCUGGGGGAACAGGGCGUGGUGUUUUGGGUGUCCCUUCGUAAAGAGCCCCUGGGACUGCGUGGGGAGGGACUGUUGGGAUGAGCUGUGGCUGAGGGCCUCACCUUUUUUACCCCCUGGACCAAUAUCGUGUGUUUCUCCUCUGUGGACUCCACAGUUUGAAAGAUAUGUUUACUAAACAGUCUGCGUUCAUUCCAUGCAAGUGGCAGCCAGCAUCCACUUCCCCAAAUGUAUUUCUCUAACACGUAAAGACAUCUAGAACUGCCUGUCUGAGCUAACAGUCACUUCAUAUGAGCAUGUUUGGAGGAAGACAUGGAGUUGAAAUCUCUCCAGCCAAAGCUAGAGACGUUUUUUUUCUUUUUUUUUCGGCUUGGGGCCAACAAAUCAUGCACCCAUCCUAGAAUUCUGGAAGAUGUCAAGUUGGGAGUCCCCAGUUUAGUCCUGCCUCUCUCAUCUCACAGAUGCUUCAGCCAGGUCUCUUUCUUGGUCCUCUCUCUGUUCAGGUCAGGUCCCUGGAGGUCAAGGAGAGCCUUGUCCCAGUGCUCAUAUCGUGGGUCCAUGUGGGUCAUUUCCCUUGGGACUUACAGUCACCCCUGGAUCCAACUCUGCUGAACCCAGAUGCACCUCUGGGCCCCCCGGAGGUGUUCAAGUAUCAGUGCUUAAUCCCUUGCCAAAGGUUCUGUUUUCUAGGGACAUGUGCAAUCUGGCUCCUGGGUCUGUACUCCAUGGCCUCAGUGAAUGUCGAACAAGAGGAGAGGUCUGAUCAGCCAAAUCCUCUCUGACUCCACGCUGUGCGUCAGAGACCCUGGCCUCCCCCACUAACCUCUGUCCAGGACGAAAGGAUCCAGACUCCUUAUCCUCCACUUGCUAGAUGUGUGAUGCUGGCAAGUUACUCAGCCUCUCUGAGCCAGCUUCCCAUCUGUACGAUGAGGGUUGACUCAAAAGAUGGAAAGCCGUGGAACUGCAUUUACAGGACUAUAAUUGUUAUUUACCCUUUACUGUGAGCAUCUCCUUUUGGCUGAAGCUAAUUGGACUGGGGUUUGUGUUUGGUCCUGUUUCGUUGAAUUGGAUGAGAUGUAUCAGGCCCCUGGGACGGAGCUCCCCCGGCCGCUUUUGUGGGCCUGUGACCCACGCAGUCACGCAGGGCCUGUGUGCAGAAGGGCCCUGUGCUUGGUGGAUGCUUGGCUGUUGCUGUCUUGAAAUUCAAAACAGUUUUUGAAUAAGUGUCCCAUAAUUAUGUGGCCAGCCCUGAGCUCACUGCCUUGCUGACAGAGGCCUGAGGGAUCUGAGAAACUCUUGUUGGGCAGCUUUCCCUGGGAGGAAAGGCGGAGUCCUUAGGCAGGUCCUGAGGUAGCCACAAAAAAUUAAAGUGAUAGGCCAUGGACCUGAAUGUUGGCUUGUAAAUGUUCCCCCUGCUGUGAUGUCAGGCUGAGCUUCUCCAAGUUCCAUCCUACAAAGGGGCUGAAAGAUUGGUGAACCUUGGUCUCUCUCUGCAAAGGAGGUAGAAUAAUUCUGAUGAGAGCAUCAGUGCUGAAUGACCCGCCCAAGGUCCCACUGCUUAUAAAUGGCAGGUCCUAGAUUCAAGUCCAUGGUCCUGAUUCCCAGACCCCAGCCCUCUCUGUUCCACCACGCUGCCUCCAGACCAAUGCCACGUGUGAUGCAGCAGACCUGGGUUUGCAUUUUAGAUCUGUUCCCAGUUUGCUGUGUGUCCUUUCAUGAGGGACUUACCCUUUCUGAACUACUUACCCCAGCAUCUGAGAGUAGAUAAACUUUAAACGUCCCUUUCCAACAGAAUCACUAUGAAACUAAAGAAGAGUUAAAUUUUAUCUGUAGAUAGAUUCCAGCUAACAAAAGCAGAAGGAAUGAAAUAGGACACCAUUUUGCAGUCCCUAACAAAUUAAUUGCAUGAAUGAUGGCUAACAUCACAAAAGAGAAUCAGAUACCAUGUACCUCCUGAUACAUCUCAACACCACCAAUGACAAAGUCUUGCCAAUAAAAAAAAAAAUCAAACUUGAA